rnacentral:rRNA from 1 species
GAUCCAGCCAUGCCGCGUGAGUGAAGAAGGCCUUCGGGUUGUAAAGCUCUUUCGCAAGGGAAGAAAACUUACCUACUAAUACUGGGUGAGGAUGACGGUACCUUGAUAAGAAGCACCGGCUAACUUCAUGCCAGCAGCCGCGGUAAU